CUUAGUCGUGUCAUAACGAAUGCAGGGUUUAUUGAGAAUAGCCUGCACAAAUUUAUAGCAUUACACUCACCAGACUGACAUCCGUGCUGGGCAAUGACGCCGAUAGAUCGGUGGUUAGGAAGAACAGUGUUGACCUGUUUCUCUGUCUGCCUGUGUGUGUGGGCGGGAGCAGUGGCGGUAGGCCAAUAGAGGGCGCCGGUGCACGGAUGACUGUGAAGUCAGCUGCUGAAACACCGAGCCAGUCUACAUUACAGCCGUCUGAAGCAGACAGUACAUCUGAGCAGCAGACAACUAGACCACAGAGGACACUGGGACCAGGAGGACAACAGAAGGUAGCUACAGAGUUAAGGCAUGUGGUACCAUCUUCAUCCAUAUCAAGAAGCUGUUCUUCUUGACACACCCCCUUAUCAGCAUAACUCUGCUGCAUGGAGAAAAGUUCCUUUAAAUCCGGAAUGCUGCAGCACCUAAAACUCCUGCAGCAGUGCACCCUGUUAAAAAUGUUUAAAAAAUGGCAAACUAUGAGCUGAACCCAUCUUCUUGUAUGGACAGUCACCUUCAGAGCUCUCUGACAGAAACACUAAUGAAAACAGCGGAAUCUAUGAGGUGGUGUCUGCUCUGAAAACAAUGGAGACUUUCUGGAGAGAUGUAGAGUUAUCCAAAUGCUCAGGCUCUGUUCUUCAUGAAAAAUAUUUGUAUCUCUGCAGGAAGGAUCCCUCUACAAACCAACAUUUCUGACCUAAAUAAGAGGGUUAACAAGUGUUUUUCUUCUCAUAAGGAAGAAGGAAUAUAAUCACAAAUCAGCUGAAAGAAAUUUAUGAAGGGUCUCUCAGUAUAUCAAUUCUUGUCAAUAGUUGUCUCCAGAUUUAUUUGUUCAAAGUAGCUAUAGCUAAAAUUUUUAUUUAUUUGUUUUUCAAAAUAUUUUUGGAAAGGGAAUUGGUAAAUUCAUGUAUCUUGUUCAUUGUCUAGCCCACAGAUUCAUGUGCUUUGUUGAAUAUUCUGCUGAUUAAGCCACAGGACGGGACAGCAGAUUGUGUCUUUGAGAAAUGAGAAACAUUUCUGAAUUAGAAAUUAACUGGAAGGUCAGGAUCUCUGCAUCUCAAAGCUUUUUGAUACAUGCUAUUUAUCUAUCUAUUUAUGUGCCAUUAUUGGUAAUUUUACCACAUGUUCAUUUACAUGCUACAUGUAUCUUA